rnacentral:tRNA from 1 species
GCCAAAAAAAUGACUGAAUUUGGAGAAGUACUCAGGGGACUGAAAAUCCCCGUGUCGGUGGUUCGAUUCCGCCUCUGGGCACCA